rnacentral:rRNA from 1 species
UUUUAACUGUACAAAGGGGGCAUAAUAAAUAGUUUCUUAAUUGGGAGCUUGUAUGAAAGGGUUUAUGAAUUAUUAUUUUUAUUUUGUUUAUUUUUAGAAUUUUUUUUUUAAGUAAAAAAGCUUAGAUUUUUUUUUGGGACGAAAAGACCCUAUAGAACUUAAUUAAUUUAAUUUAUUAUUUAUUUUUUGUUUUUACCAUUAAAUUAAUAUUUAUGUUUAUUUGAUUGGGGCGAUUAUUAAGAAUAACAAAACUUUAUUUUUUUAUUUCAUUUAUAUAUGUUUUAUUGAUCCAAUAAUUUUGAUUAAAAGAUUUAGUUACCUUAGGGAUAACAGCGUAAUUUUAAUGGGGAGUUCUUAUUUAUAUUAAAGUUUGCGACCUCGAUGUUGAAUUAAGAUUAGGAUAUGGGG